AUGAGAAACAAUGCAGAUUUGGUAAGGAAAAAAGAUGGAAGAAGCGCAGUGGAAGGAACAAAACUUCAUGGAAUUAUUAGGGCCUCGCAUGCUUUUCAUUAAGUCCCUGGAAAGAGAUCAUCUGUAUGUGAACUUCAUUUGAGAAAAUAAUCGGUUGGUCGUGAUCGUCUUGCUGCAAGAACCAUAAACAGCUUGUCACUCACAACUUCCUCACAGUGAAAGGCGUUUGGUGACCUACGCAAUUUAUCCAGCCAUUUUCCAUCUCAUCGUUUCCACUAUACGAGGGACCAGGCCAAUGUACUGUUAUCUCAAGUGGAUUAAGUGCGAUUGAGAAUGGUUUGUCGAUUCACUAUUGUCACCUAAUGUUGUGAGUUGAAGACGGGGAGCCUAACAAAACAAUAUGAGAAGGUUCAAAUGUAGUAUUCGAUAUAUGUAAACAAAUAACUAGAACCAAUUUUCAGAGAUAUGCACUCUCCAUAUGUUUAUCAUGGUUGGUGUUCUGAUAUAGGACAGUACAGUCAUAACUUCUUUUCCUCUUAAGAAACAUAAAGCUUAUUAUUGAAGAGUGAAAAAAAGUACAAUUGAUGGACCCAGUGACACUCUUUUCUUUUGA